UGGCAGUCAGAGGCGAUGAAGGGCGUGCUAAUCUGCGAUAAGCGCCGGUAAGGUGAUAUGAACCGUUAUAACCGGCGAUACCCGAAUGGGGAAACCCAGUGUGAUUCGUCACACUAUCAUUAACUGAAUCCAUAGGUUAAUGAGGCGAACCGGGGGAACUGAAACAUCUAAGUACCCCGAGGAAAAGAAAUCAACCGAGAUUCCCCCAGUAGCGGCGAGCGAACGGGGAGGAGCCCAGAGCCUGAAUCAGCAUGUGUGUUAGUGGAAGCGUCUGGAAAGGCGCGCGAUACAGGGUGACAGCCCCGUACACAAAAGCGCAUGUGCUGUGAGCUCGAUGAGUAGGGCGGGACACGUGGUAUCCUGUCUGAAUAUGGGGGGACCAUCCUCCAAGGCUAAAUACUCCUGACUGACCGAUAGUGAACCAGUACCGUGAGGGAAAGGCGAAAAGAACCCCGGCGAGGGGAGUGAAAAAGAACCUGAAACCGUGUACGUACAAGCAGUGGGAGCCCCACCACUAAGCCAGUGGUGAACUCCACAUACGCAUCCUUUGCUGAGGAUACGGUUAACGGAGCGAAAGCGACGUUCAACCUCAAAAGAAGCAGAGGGGGCUUAGUGGUGGGGUGACUGCGUACCUUUUGUAUAAUGGGUCAGCGACUUAUAUUCUGUAGCAAGGUUAACCGCAUAGGGGAGCCGGAGGGAAACCGAGUCUUAAUUGGGCGUUAAGUUGCAGGGUAUAGACCCGAAACCCGGUGAUCUAGCCAUGGGCAGGUUGAAGGUUGGGUAACACUAACUGGAGGACCGAACCGACUAAUGUUGAAAAAUUAGCGGAUGACCUGUGGCUGGGGGUGAAAGGCCAAUCAAACCGGGAGAUAGCUGGUUCUCCCCGAAAGCUAUUUAGGUAGCGCCUCGUGAAUUCAUCUCCGGGGGUAGAGCACUGUUUCG
rnacentral:rRNA from 1 species